rnacentral:snRNA from 1 species
AUAUACGACAGCACAUAUACUACAUUGGAACAACACGGAGAAGAUUCGCGCGGCCCCUGCACAAGGGUGACACACAAAUUCGUGAAGCUUCCAUGUUUUUA